rnacentral:rRNA from 1 species
CAGUAGCCGCGGUAGUACGAAGGGUGCAAGCGUUACUCGGAAUUACUGGGCGUAAAGCGUGCGUAGGUGGUGGUUUAAGUCCGUUGUGAAAGCCCUGGGCUCAACCAGGGAAUUGCAGUGGAUACUGGAUCACUAGAGUGUGGUAGAGGAUAGUGGAAUUUCCGGUGUAGCAGUGAAAUGCGUAGAGAUCGGAAGGAACAUCUGUGGCGAAGGCGACUAUCUGGGCCAACACUGACACUGAGGCACGAAAGCGUGGGGAGCAAACAGGAUUAGAUACCCCCGUAGUCCCUGUCUCUUAUAC